rnacentral:lncRNA from 1 species
AUGACAGACCCGUGUGCUGAGUGGACUUCCAGGUGGUUCAGUGGUAUAGAGCCUGCCUGCCAAUGUGCAUUUGAUCUCCGGGUCAGGAAAAUCCCCUGGAGGAGGAAAUGGCAACCCACUGCAGUAUUCUUGCCUGGAGAAUCCUGUGGACAGAGAAGCCUGGUGCGCUACAGUCCAUGGGGUCACAAAGAGGCACUCACAUGCAAUGUCACAUCCUCACAGCGACCAGGAAGGGAGGACAUAAGUGUCUACAUUUUGCAAAUUCGGAGAAAGCAGGUCACAGAGAUUGACCAGUUUUCUUUCCCAACAAACCCAGGUGUGUCUUUCAUCCAGGCAAGCCCUCCACCCGGCCUUGCAUCCAGUUGGCCUCUUGUCGGAUCCCCUUUAGAAGUCAACCAGUUGUCCGGCCGUCCAGCCCAGGCUAUCCUCAUGUUCAUGUAUGAACCUGCUUCUGAACUCUGCAGCCCAGAGAAGACUCGGCAAAGCUGGGGGGCCACUGUGCCUGCAGGCUCCCCUGCUGGGGGGCCACCCCUCAGCCCCCCUAAGGAGUUCCACACAGGGCAUGGUCCAGUCUUUGUGUCAGCCAGCCUUCACCAGUACCCCUCAUCCCUCCCACCAUGCGGAUCAUCAGAAUCAAAGCCCAGGGUCGGGCUGGAAUCCUGUACUUCCCUUUUCCCCCAAAAUAUCUACCUUGAAAGAAUUUUUGCAAAUCAAAUCAUAAGCGCAUUAGAGUUAAUUAUAUACUAUUAAAUUCACUGCUGUGGCAAAGCCUUGGAAAAUGAAGAAUCUUUUUCUAAUUAAAAUAAACAAAUUUCAGUUCAC